rnacentral:lncRNA from 1 species
UUCUUCCAACACACCGUUUACUAGUUAAUACCCAUGCUAAGUUUCAUGUUUAUGGAAUCAAGAACGGCAUUCCCAAUCCACGCAAGUCUCAAUCAGACUGUUUCUUUUAUCCUGUUAAGCACUUGGGUUGAGAGAAAAGGAGAGUAAAACUCUAGCUUAAUUCAAUUGGAAGAGGAUGGAUGUUUGAAAUGUGAUCCCAAGUUUAUGUUACUACUCCAGUAGGGAGUUGUCAAACAAAUAAAGAUGAGGUGCAUUGUCGUCUUAACUGUGGCAGAAACAGACUUCCCACUCCAUGUUGCAAAGGCCUGCUAUUCUUCUCACCAAUCCCAGUCUGCUCCUUCUGGCAUCCACGGAGUUAACCACGUUAAUAACUUGGAUACUGUCACUCUCAACCAUUACUUUGCGUUGGCCUCAAUCCCCUGUAAUCCUUGGCAUAUAUAUAUUUAUUUAAUAUUAAUUAUUACUAAUCAAUAUAAAUAUAAAAUUAGGAUAAAUUUAUUUUAUUAAAUAUAAAUAUAAUUUUUAAUAGUUUUUAUUAUAUAUAAUCAUUUUAAUAUAAUGUUGAUUAUUUUUACGAUUAAAUUCAAACACAUAUAAAGUAAUUUGUCCUAAAAUAAUUAAUUUCACUACUUCCUUUAUUUUUAAUUUUUCGUUCAACUCAACCGUUAAACUAAACAGACCAAAUAGAAUUAGACGUGAUUGCAGUAAUACUUGGCCCUUAAAAAAGGUGUAAGCAAAGUCGUCUCAUCAUCUUCACAUGUUGCAAACCAUAUAAGAACAAAGUGAAGAAGACUAUAGACAUAUGCGUAAUAAUAAACAAAGACAACUUGUCCCUAUAAGAAGACCCUUUUUUUUUAUCUAUUUGCCAUUAGACUGUCGUUUUGGUCUUCACAAUUCAUACUCGUAUGAUUUGUCCAAUUGUGCUCGUGAAACAGAUAUGAAAAGUCAGACAGUCAAAUGCCAAAAUAAAAAAUAAUAAAAAAAUCACAAAUGGGUCCAAUAAAAUAGUAGUAUUCUGCUAUCAACUUAAUCAGUUUGAUUACUAUGAUUAAUCUCGUGGAUCGUCAAACAUGACCUUUUUUCUUGUUUAUUAGGAGAAAAAAAACUAUUGUUUAGUUUCAGUCUAAACCCAUGUUUGCCGCUGUCUAUAUAAUCAUCCUCCUACCUAGUAUACUCGUAAGCUAUCUUCAUCACAAAUUCAAUUCUCAAAUCAGCUUAGAGGUUUAUCCUUGCCUCUCCGACUGUAAUUAACCUGUUUUAAGUUGAGAAAUGGAUGUUUACAAGAGAGGUUUCAUAUCUGAAACUUCAAGAAGUGAAGAAGAGAUGGAGCUAAGGAAAGGUCCAUGGACUGAAGAAGAGGACUCCAUGCUUAGGGCGUAUGUCAAUAUCCACGGCGAAGGUCGCUGGAACGCUGUUGCUCGCUUAUCAGGUUAAUAUAUAUAGCGUAGUUUCUUUCCCUGGUUAUUGAAACAAAUUUGGUUUUAGCUUUUAUUCGUAAUUUCUCACAGUAUGAAAUGAAAUGUGCGCAGGAUUGAGAAGAACCGGUAAAAGCUGCAGAUUGAGAUGGCUGAACUAUAUGCGACCAGAAAUCAAACGAGGAAACAUCAGCCUCGAAGAGCAGCUAUUGAUUCUUGAACUCCAUUCUCGCUGGGGGAACAGGUUUUUUUGCUGGCUUUCCUCCUUCCUGCAAUUCAAUAAACAUAAGAAUGAUCUUAGGCUAAUCUUUUUGACCUUUUGAAACUGUGAAGGUGGUCGAAAAUUGCACAACACUUGCCUGGAAGAACAGACAAUGAAAUAAAGAAUUAUUGGAGAACAAGAGUCCAGAAGCAGGCCAAGCAGCUUAACUGUGACGUUAACAGCAAACAAUUCAAGGACGCCAUGCGUUACGUUUGGAUCCCCCGUUUAGUUGAACGGAUCCGUGCUUCAUCCGAGUCUCCCUCGAGUCAACCUUCUACCACCACCAACACCACCUACAAUGAUCGUAUCAGCAACAUAAGCAGCAGUCAAAUGAGCUACGCAAAUGCGAGUGGGUCGGUCCAGGUUGACCCAAGUCUUCUGCCCGAAUUAUCAGGCACGUCAUCAGACUCCCUUGACACCCAAGUCUCUUCCGUUUCGGACCUGACCGAUUGUUACAAUCCACAAAGCCUUUCAAACUACUUACACAAGGGGUUAGGUUUGGAAAAGGAGGGAGCGGCCACAUGGGGCAGAGAUGAAGAAUUCCAGGCGAC